UCCUGCUUUAAUUGACACAAACGAUACCAUUUGGAGGUUCGGAGUUCCUGCAGGAGAAGGCCUGUGGUCCUCCGAGCCCCGGGGCCUGUUUGUUGGAGGAGAGGGAGCCUGGAUGCUCUGCAGGCCCCCUUCAGACCGCGGUAAUAGGCGGAGGCUGGUGGGUCGCUGCGCAAAGCCGGUCCUCCGCGCUGAGACUCCGCAGAAAUCCCGCUGGAGCUCUUUCUGCUCUCGCCCUGUCUACUUCCCUUCAUAAUGAUGAAUGGCUGAAAAGAGAACUAUCUAAUCUCCAAAACUGCUGGCUUUUUUCUGCCCCCUCCCCUUCUCUUUCUUCAAGGAGGGGAGGAAGAACAUGGCCACAUAAAACAGAGUCCUUCAUCGCCCGCUCCUCUGGAGACGCGCGCUCCCUUUUCAUCCCGGGGCCUGUUUCUGAUCUGCGAUGGGCUCUCCUUGAAGGCUCGGGCCGGCCCUCCCUAAUCGGCCGCGACAGACGCUGCGAGCUGCGCGGGCUGCCCGCUGAAAUUGAAUUGAUUGCCCGGCCCCUCUGCCAUUUUGUUCUGCGCGCGAUUGCUUAAUGGCUGUCACCUUGGCUUUCAGUCCCAGCCGGCUUUGGGGCUGGCUGGCUGGUUCCCAUUACUCGGGAUGGCCAGUGCAAGUUCACCACCCUUUACAGGAUGUCCCUGAUUGAUUCCGUAUGCCUUGGAGACCUGACCUUCUGUGGCUUGAGGCCGAUCCUCCGGGCUGAGGCCUCCAGCCCUUGGCUGGAGAGGAACCCUGGGGACCACAGAGCUGAGCAGUAACCGGCCCUUUUUCCUCCUCAAGCAGGGCACAGCAGAAGCAGCCACUGUCAUAUGGCAGGCUUCUGGGCCGGUGAUGUAUGACCCGCUGGCUCUACUGAAUGGUGCCCUUUGUUCCACAGGAUCCCAUGUGCCCCCUUUUUAUUGAGUUGUUGAUUCAGAGGGGCAGGGAAAGUUCCACAAAUCCCACUGCAGCCCCGGCUCUUGCCAUGCCCAGGUGGGGCAGCCAGGGAAACUCACCUUUCCCAGGAAGCCAGGAGGACUCUGUGAGCUGUCUCAAAGCCGAAUACCACUUUGGGAGCAACUCUCAUGCUGAGCCAAGCAGGUACUUGGAGAGAACCCAGGUACACCUAACCCUCCGAAUUCCAGGUGAGGAGGAACUGGACAAGGUUACCAUCACCGGCAGGGUGCCUGUGAGCCAAGGGCCAUCUUCCCUAUCUCCAAGCUAAGUCAGAGUUUUCUCUGUGACUAAGCCCCUGGCAGGCACCAAUGGUAAGAGAGCAGUAGGAAGCUGCCCAGCCAGAGGCCCUGUAGAGCCAAAGGGAAGGGCCAGGGCAAGAGGCUUGAAAUGAAACCCCACUGUUGCCUCUUUUGUCCUGGGUUUCAAGACCAUCUUAGGUGGAGACCAUGGGGGAUGGACCAGCCGUGAGGGUGAGUUGUGCCGGGGACUAGUCCACUCUGGCGGCACCUUCCUGUAACCGCUUUUCUUCAUCACGCCCAAGCUGGAUUUCAUCUCUCCCAGUCCCUCCACCUGGAAGCCAGGGUCUCACUUCAGACCCACUGGAGUAAAGGUGGCUGACAGACUCACACAGCCGCUCCUGGAAGCCACUCUUCUGAAGCAACUGCACAAAUGCCACCAAGGAUUCUCUACUUAGGAGACUAUCUUCUCCGAAUUGUAGGGUUGAUGCUAAAAAAGAUGAGAUCUUUGCUGCUGCCUGCCCGCCCAACCAACCCUUCUGGGGUCUUUGUGAGCCCUGGAAACUAGCCCCAUAACCCAGGGAGUAACAUGAGAUUGAAGGGACUUUUGAACUCAGGUCACUCUGAGGGCCCAUGGCACAAAUGCUUAAAGGGGCACUAAGGGCCCCACCAGGCACCUGAAGGAAGGAAAAAAGGCAUAAAAGGAAAGACACUGUCGCCGAGCAAGGCAAGGCGCUAACAAAUGACAAACACGCGCUUCACAGUUGUAAGAUGGCUUUAUGUUCCAAUAUGUAAAAGAAAACGUCCAUGCUAUAUACCAAAAACACUUGGAAUUUCAUACCACCUGUCAGCUAAUGUGUUUUCUAAUAAAGCUUUAUCUGCA